UCCACCCAGACAAAUGGUGAACCGAUGGCAGCUUGGUAUAACAUAGGCACUAAGUCUGUAGAUAUGAACACUACAAGUCCACUACAAUAUGUGUGAGGUAUCGUUUUAUACCUUUAAAUUCGUCAUCCCCUACAUACCAUUUGCUUCUUUUAUUUUCGUACAAUAUUCAUUCUAUGCUUUGCUAUCUUAUUGCAAAGAAUAAACUUUUUCUUCUUUUUAAGGUCAAACAUACUUCGAAAACUUUGAAAAAAUUUAUAAAGACAUAUCGUCAAUUUUGGUAACAAACUCUGCGUUCAUACAAUGCUCUGAUAUUCCAUUAUAGACCCAUGACGCCUUUGUUUGUUAAAUUCCGAUAUGUAUCUAGAAAUAGCCUUGCACUAUAUCACCGUACGUUUCACUUUCAUCUUCAAUUCUUUUUUGUAUAAUUUCACUUUUUACCAAUCCUAAGAGAAAUACGACGGAAUACUUUCUGGACUGUAAAUAUGAUUGCAUUGAGCAUUUUACUCCUUAGAAACGAUUUCUUCUUGUAAAAUGUUUUGG
rnacentral:lncRNA from 1 species